AACGCUGGCGGCGUGCUUAACACAUGCAAGUCGAACGGAAAGGCCCUUCGGGGUACUCGAGUGGCGAACGGGUGAGUAACACGUGGGUGAUCUGCCCUGCACUUUGGGAUAAGCCUGGGAAACUGGGUCUAAUACCGAAUAGGACCGCAUGCUUCAUGGUGUGUGGUGGAAAGCUUUUGCGGUGUGGGAUGGGCCCGCGGCCUAUCAGCUUGUUGGUGGGGUAAUGGCCUACCAAGGCGACGACGGGUAGCCGGCCUGAGAGGGUGUCCGGCCACACUGGGACUGAGAUACGGCCCAGACUCCUACGGGAGGCAGCAGUGGGGAAUAUUGCACAAUGGGCGCAAGCCUGAUGCAGCGACGCCGCGUGAGGGAUGACGGCCUUCGGGUUGUAAACCUCUUUCAGCAGGGACGAAGCGCAAGUGACGGUACCUGUAGAAGAAGCACCGGCCAACUACGUGCCAGCAGCCGCGGUAAUACGUAGGGUGCGAGCGUUGUCCGGAAUUACUGGGCGUAAAGAGCUCGUAGGUGGUUUGUCGCGUUGUUCGUGAAAACUCACAGCUCAACUGUGGGCGUGCGGGCGAUACGGGCAGACUUGAGUACUGCAGGGGAGACUGGAAUUCCUGGUGUAGCGGUGGAAUGCGCAGAUAUCAGGAGGAACACCGGUGGCGAAGGCGGGUCUCUGGGCAGUAACUGACGCUGAGGAGCGAAAGCGUGGGGAGCGAACAGGAUUAGAUACCCUGGUAGUCCACGCCGUAAACGGUGGGUACUAGGUGUGGGUUUCCUUCCUUGGGAUCCGUGCCGUAGCUAACGCAUUAAGUACCCCGCCUGGGGAGUACGGCCGCAAGGCUAAAACUCAAAGAAAUUGACGGGGGCCCGCACAAGCGGCGGAGCAUGUGGAUUAAUUCGAUGCAACGCGAAGAACCUUACCUGGGUUUGACAUGCACAGGACGCCGGCAGAGAUGUCGGUUCCCUUGUGGCCUGUGUGCAGGUGGUGCAUGGCUGUCGUCAGCUCGUGUCGUGAGAUGUUGGGUUAAGUCCCGCAACGAGCGCAACCCUUGUCUCAUGUUGCCAGCACGUAAUGGUGGGGACUCGUGAGAGACUGCCGGGGUCAACUCGGAGGAAGGUGGGGAUGACGUCAAGUCAUCAUGCCCCUUAUGUCCAGGGCUUCACACAUGCUACAAUGGCCGGUACAAAGGGCUGCGAUGCCGUGAGGUGGAGCGAAUCCUUUCAAAGCCGGUCUCAGUUCGGAUCGGGGUCUGCAACUCGACCCCGUGAAGUCGGAGUCGCUAGUAAUCGCAGAUCAGCAACGCUGCGGUGAAUACGUUCCCGGGCCUUGUACACACCGCCCGUCACGUCAUGAAAGUCGGUAACACCCGAAGCCGGUGGCCUAACCCCUUGUGGGA
rnacentral:rRNA from 1 species